rnacentral:snRNA from 1 species
GGAUGUGAGGGCGAUCUGGCUGCGACAUCUGUCACCCCAUUGAUCGCCAGGGUUGAUUCGGCUGAUCUGGCUGGCUAGGCGGGUGUCCCCUUCCUCCCUCACCGCUCCAUGUGCGUCCCUCUCGAAGCUGCGCGCUCAGUCGAAGAGGACGGCCUUCCCCGAAUAGAGACGGACCGGUCUUCGGUCGAGGGUAUACGAGUAGCUGCGCUCCCCUGCUAGAACCUCCAAACAAGCUCUCAAGGAAGUGAACCACCUGUAAUAGAAUUAGAGAAUACUAUGAAAGGAAAAGUCUCACCAGAGUAAUGAAGCUGAAGGGUUGUCAUUCCAC